rnacentral:tRNA from 1 species
UAUAUUUUAGUGUAUAAUGCACAUAAAACUUUGAAUCUUAUAGAAUUAAAUAAAUUAAUAAAUAUAA